rnacentral:rRNA from 1 species
CAAGUCGCACGAGAACCACUCUUAGCUUGCGUUGAAAGGGGACAGUGGCGCAAGGGAGAGUAACGCGUGGUUACAUACCCUCGAGACCGGGAUAGUGUUGGGAAACUGGCAGUAAUACCGGAUAACAUCUUCGGAUCAAAUGGUGUGAUUCCGCUCGAGGAUUGGACCGCGUACUAUUAGCUUGUUGGUGAGGUAACGGCUCACCAAGGCUGCGAUGGUUACCGGGUGUGAGAGCAUGGCCCGGCUCACUGGGACUGAGACACUGCCCAGACACCUACGGGUGGCUGCAGUCGAGAAUCUUCGGCAAUGUGCGAAAGCCUGACCGAGCGACGCCCCGUGCGGGAUGAAGGCCCUCGGGUUGUAAACCGCUGUCAGUAGUUAGGAAAUGCAUGGUGGUUAUCCAUCAUGUUUGACCGAUCUUCUUAGGAAGGACGGGCUAAGUUCGUGCCACCAGCCGCGGUAAGACGAACAGUCCAAACGUUAUUCGGUAUCACUGGGCUUAAAGCGUGCGUACGCCGCUUGGUAGGUGAGAUGUGAAAGCCCACGGCUCACCGUGGAAUUGCGUUUGAUACCCCCCAGCUCGAGGAAGAUAGGGGUGAUGGGAACUUAUGGUUUGACCGUGAAAUGCGUUUAUUUCAUCGGGAACAUCUGAUGGCGAAGGCGCA